rnacentral:rRNA from 1 species
GACGUAGGGUGCGAGCGUUGUCCGGAUUUAUUGGGCGUAAAGCGCACGUAGGCGGCUUUGUAAGUUAGAGGUGAAAUCCCUCGGCUUAACCGGGGAACUGCGUCUGAUACUGGAUGGCUUGAGGUUGGGGAGAGGGAUGCGGAAUUCCAGGUGUAGCGGAUGAAAUGCGUAGAUAUCUGGAGGAACACCGGGUGGCGAAGGCGGCAUCCUGGACCAAUUCUGACGCUGAGUGAGCGGAAAG